CCGGUACGAGGGGAGUUGGAGGAGAGACUCGGGGAGGAGACGCUACACACUGGGGGAAAGACUGACAAAACUGAGGGACAUGCGCUGCCUAGCGAUCUAAUGGCGAGUGUGAGCUGUGAGAAACUGUUCGUCAGAGCUUCCCAUUGCAACAGUGUGUCUCUUAGUGGAUUUCUGCUGAAAUGACGUCCAACUAACUGCAAAGGUCAAUGCUGUCCCUUCACCCCUAAUGGUCAUCAGGAGUGAGCAGUGUUUGCCCUGGUGCCCAAUGGCUGACCCGCAGCAGUUCUUCACUGGCAAGCUUUAUGUCCUUGUGUAUCAACUAAAGCUGCCAGCUGAAGAACUGUUGUGGUUGGCUCUUUCCUGGCACCCCAGCUGUUCAGGACAAGAUGGCAUAUAGAUGAAGAUUCUGAGGGCUUAGACAGUAGCGCCUGCCAGACGGGUCGGCAGGUCCAAACCAGUAGUGGAUCAGACAGGUCCUGAAUAAUUUUUUUUUUGCCCUGCCUGGAAUGCUCACGUGAGCUGUCCCAGCCUGGCUGUGCAUUCUCCACAGGCAUAAACAAAGGCUUCUGGCAGGGCCUAUGCUGACUCAGCAACAUUCCUGGCCCGGUGAGGUCCUCCUGACCUUAUUUGGGCGUGGAGCGGGCGGGGAGCGGCCGUGGCUCGUCAGCCAGGGAAGGGUCGAUGGAGCACCCGAUAAAAAAGAGGGGAUGUUUUGAGGGCUUGGAAGAAGAAUUGCAAUGCUCUUCUAUACUUCCUUUUUUUCUCUGGAAGUGAGCCAGGGCUUUUACAUGUGUUUCUGUUUAUGAAUAAGUCAGAGAGUUCUUUCCAGAGAAUGAGCACGGAACACACUUGCUGGACUCACAUCUGCAACUUCCCCUGGCUCUCCUCCGAGCUGUGCUGUGGUAUGAAAUGUGAUUGUUGGUUUAUUCUUUUGGACGCGUGCGUACUGUGCACGAGUGACACUCACACGCAUGCUCGCCGCAGUGCCUGACCCUCAGUAAGCAAUAAAUCUCACUUCAAGGGCAACAGCGGUGCCGAAAACAGGAUAUGAAAAUGUGUCGCCCUUAAACCUCCCAGCCAGAUGAAAAACAAAGGUAGAAAAUGUUCUCACCAUUUAGCAGAACCAGAUGCCCCUUGCGGGAAGCGCAUGGCGUCUGCGGCUUGAAGAGCAGCGCUGCUUCCUUUCUGUCUCUCUGCUCUCCUCUUUCUCGCUCCCUCAUGUAGGAAAAGGACUUAGAUUGAUAUGAAUGUUAUUGCCUUUUAUAAGCACUUCAGUCACUCGAGGUAAGGACAAUUACAUGACGUGGUAACAGAGUGUAAUGUAAUGUAAUGAGGCUCCUAUGUUGGCUUUGCUCUGUGCGUCACCGCCUCUGACCCACACAGGCCAUGGGUGCUGUCAGGUCACGGACCAUUGUUGCCUGCUUGAUUGGCUCUGGGCAAUCUCCCUGCAAGUGAAUUAAAGGAUUGCUGAGGGUCGUCUCAGCAUUGCUUAAAGGUUCAUUUCCCCUCUCUGAAACUGUUGGGACCCUGGUCAGCACAUUGUUCGGCAUGCGUAAGCAAGUUACAUGAUUUACGACAGAUAAUUGUGUUUUUUUAAUGUAAAAAUUGAUUGUGUUAUUUUAAUAAAACAAAAAAAUAAAAUGAU